rnacentral:rRNA from 1 species
GACGAACGCUGGCGGCGUGCUUAACACAUGCAAGUCGAACGGAAAGGCCCUGCUUUUGUGGGGUGCUCGAGUGGCGAACGGGUGAGUAACACGUGAGUAACCUGCCCUUGACUUUGGGAUAACUUCAGGAAACUGGGGCUAAUACCGGAUAGGAGCUCCUGCUGCAUGGUGGGGGUUGGAAAGUUUCGGCGGUUGGGGAUGGACUCGCGGCUUAUCAGCUUGUUGGUGGGGUAGUGGCUUACCAAGGCUUUGACGGGUAGCCGGCCUGGGAGGGUGACCGGCCACAAUGGGACUGAGCUACGGCCCAGACUCGUACGGGAGGCAGCAGUGGGGAAUAUUGCACAAUGGGCGGAAGCCUGAUGCAGCAACGCCGCGUGCGGGAUGACGGCCUUCGGGUUGUAAACCGCUUUCGCCUGUGACGAAGCGUGAGUGACGGUAAUGGGUAAAGAAGCACCGGCUAACUACGUG